GUGGGGAAUAUUGGACAAUGGGGGGAACCCUGAUCCAGCCAUGCCGCGUGUGUGAAGAAGGCCUUUUGGUUGUAAAGCACUUUAAGCGAGGAGGAGGCUACCGAGAUUAAUACUCUUGGAUAGUGGACGUUACUCGCAGAAUAAGCACCGGCUAACUCUGUGCCAGCAGCCGCGGUAAUACAGAGGGUGCAAGCGUUAAUCGGAUUUACUGGGCGUAAAGCGCGCGUAGGUGGCCAAUUAAGUCAAAGGUGAAAUCCCCGAGCUUAACUUGGGAAUUGCAUUCGAUACUGGUUGGCUAGAGUAUGGGAGAGGAUGGUAGAAUUCCAGGUGUAGCGGUGAAAUGCGUAGAGAUCUGGAGGAAUACCGAUGGCGAAGGCAGCCAUCUGGCCUAAUACUGACACUGAGGUGCGAAAGCAUGGGGAGCAAACAGGAUUAGAUACCCCGGUAGUCC
rnacentral:rRNA from 1 species